AAAGUUCAACAAAUAGUAAAUUUUGAAUUCAUAAGUUUAAAAUUAUAACGGGUCCACUGCUAAAUGACCUCGUAGAGGAUAAUUGAACCAUCACGUUAAUUUACAUACUGGAUCCAUCUUCCCCUCAUAGAAUAGUGCACCAGUUUAUGGGUUCUUCUCUGAUGACAUGAUCAAUAAUAACGGGUUGGUACAGCGACGACGACGAAGACGAAGACGAAUCGUAACUAGUAUAAGGAUGAGAGUUGCGGUAGCUCGAACCAUAAGAAGG
rnacentral:lncRNA from 1 species